AGUUAUCAUAGUUGCUUUUUCUUCCAAACACGCUCCCUCCCUCUCUUUAAUACCUAUGGUGGACGGAAAUCGCCCCGCCGCAUUAGAAAUCGCUUCCAGUGGGUUGGAUGUUGCAAGCUUGGCAUGAUAGAAGCAUGAAGUCUCGAGGUUCGACAUGGCUUGACAUGGAUAUUGGCAUGGAAAUAACCAUGAUAGAACUUUGGGAAAGGACUUGAGCCAAGCAAAGUCAAUACUCAAAGUUAACUGUGCCACAAAAGGUCAAAUGUAGCACAGUGAUCCCACGAGCUUGUUUCUCAAGUGCACGCCAUAAGAAAACCCUAAUCCAAGAAGAUUGAUAGCAUUUUUGUCAUAGUUCAACACCUUGUAUCAUAAGUCAUAGGAACCUUUGAAUCAAUGAUGUUACAUAUAGAGGCAAGUGCAGAUGAAUGAUCCUAGCAAUGGAUGAUUAGGGUAGGUGUAUGCAAAUGAAUCAUGGGCCAUGAGUCAGAUGAAAUAAAAAUAGGUAUGGAAAAUUUUGGGGUAAGAUAGCUACUCGUAUUUAAUCAUCUUAAACCUGAAUGUACGAAUGGUGACAACUUUCUGGGGAUUCGAGGCAGAAGAGGAUUGGAUACAAAGACUAUAAAACUUGUCCUUUGAGAAGGAAGUGGAUGUAAUGUGAUGAUACUAGGUCCAUUAUCAUGAUUUUGUUUGUUGGGGAUAUGGAAUGGCAGAGAGACUUUGUAGGGUCUAUUAACUGAAAUGCUUGGUUGGGGAAUAGAUCAGUCGUAAAAGGGAUGUCCGUUAUGCAUUAUGAAAUGCUUAUACUUGAAUUUAUGGUGUAUGAGAUUAUGCAUGAUAUGCUAUUUUUCUGGAAGGAAAUGAUUGAUAUCUGCAAGGAUGAGACUUCUUUUUGUGUAGUGGUGAACUUCAAUUUUCCGACAUCCAAUAAUUGAACCAGAGAGUUUGUAACAAGGGAAAGAGCUUCAGGUUACUACAACUAUUGAGAUUUCAUUGGAUUCCUUCCGAGAUAGAGAAUAGCUUAUGACUUGAUUGGAUGGUCAUUGAGACGCUUUCAUGUAUUAAGCGUACACUAUAUACUACUGAUCUUACUUUAGAAUUUUUCAAAUAAUAAAGGCAAUGCAAACGUUAUUCUUUUUA